CCGUGCCGUGACGCCAAACUCCUCGGUCAUGUCCAGAUCCUCGGCCGCCGCCCCGCCUGGCAGCUCCCAGUCGAAGUGGAACAGCAGCGCCGCGAGCGCGAGCUCCACGUGCGCCAGCCCGAAAGCCAUGCCGGGGCAUAUCCUCCUCCCGCCGCCGAACGGCACGAACUCGAAGUCCGCCCCCUUGAAGUCCCUCCCGUUCUGCUCGAACCGCUCCGGUGCGAACUCCUCGGGUGCCUCCCAGUGCGCCGGGUCCAUGCCGAUCGCCCACGCGUUCACGAUCACCAUGACCCCCUCCGGCACGUCCAGGCCCAGAACCUGACACGGGCUCCCGCACCUACGCGGCAGCAGCAAUGGCGCCGGCGGGUGCAUCCUCAGCGUCUCCUUGAUGACAAACCCAAGGUAUCGCAGAUCUGCCAGGUCGGCCUCCCUCACCUUGUCGUGCCCGGCGAGUUGCUGCCGGACCUCGUCUUGCGCCUUCCGCAUAACCCGCGGGUUCCGUAUCAGCUCCGCCAUCGCCCACUGCAGCGUCGUCGCCGACGUCUCGCUGCCGGCGCCAAACAUCAUGACGGUCUUGAUGUUGUCAGUGGUGAGUGGAUACUGCGAGUCCCCUUCCUUUUGGAGUCUCAGGAGCACGUCGAGCAAGUCUUCUUCUUUGUCGCCGUCGCAGUCGGGGCCGCUGUUCUCCUGGUGCUCUUGGAUGAUGGUGUCCAUGAACAGCUUCAUGUCUUGGCUAUGGCGCUGUAUCCUGCCGGGGACGCUGCUAAGGAGCCGCACGAGACGCGAGGAGGGGAAAAUGUCGGGAAGGGUCAUCCCGGGCACGAUUUUGAGUCCCUCUUGCAGCAUCUCCAGGUACGUGUCCCUCUGCUUGAACCGGCUGCCGACGAUGGCGCGCACCGUAGAAUCCGCGACGUACGCCGAUAUGCGCUCGCUCAGGUUCACCGGCGAAGACGAGGCAGAAGCCGCCGCGACGGAGCGGAGGAGGCGACCGAGCUCCUCCUCGCGGGCGGGGCGGAAGGACUGGACGCGGCGGGAGCUGAAGAUCUCGACAGUGCAUAUCUUGCGAAGCUGCCGCCAUGCGUCGCCGUAGGGCGCGAAGAUGAGGCCCUCGGCGUCGCCGUACGCCAUCUGCUGCAUCGACGUCAGAGGCCUGGACGCGAAGGAAGCGUCGUGGGUCUUCAUGAUCUCGCGCGCGGCGUCAGGGGACGACGCGACCACGGCGUCGAGCUCGCCGAGGCGGAGCAUCAUGAGCGGGCCGUGGCGCCGCGCGAGGUCGCGCAGAGCACGGUGCGGAAGGGCGCCGGCGAGAUGGUGCAGGUGACCGAUGACCGGGAGCGCCCAUGGCCCUGGCGG
rnacentral:rRNA from 1 species